rnacentral:rRNA from 1 species
GACGAACGCUGGCGGCGUGCUUAACACAUGCAAGUCGAACGGAAAGGCCCUGCUUUUGUGGGGUGCUCGAGUGGCGAACGGGUGAGUAACACGUGAGUAACCUGCCCUUUACUUUGGGAUAACUUCAGGAAACUGUGGCUAAUACCGGAUAGGAGCUCCUGCUGCAUGGUGGGGGUUGGAAAGUGUCGGCUGUUGGGGAUGGACUCGCGGCUUAUCAGCUUGUGGGUGUGGUAGUGGCUUACCAAGGCUUUGACGGCGAGCCGGCCUGAGAGGGUGACCGGCCACAUUGGGACUGAGGUACGGCCCAGACUACUACGGGAGGCAGCAGUGGGGAAUAUUGCACAAUGGGCGGAAGCAUGAUGCAGCAACGCCGCGUGCGGGAUGACGGCCUUCGGGUUGUAAACCGCUUUCGCCUGUGACGAAGCGUGAGUGACGGUAAUGGGUAAAGAAGCAACGGCUAACUACGUG